AAGACUUUAAGUUAAUUUAAAACUAUUAACCUUCAAAGUUAAAAAUACUUAUUAUUUUGUAAGUCUUA
rnacentral:tRNA from 1 species